AAAAUCCCGCCGCCGCCCAAGUUCCAGGCCAUCGUGAAGCAGGUGAGGGAGCAUCCCUGGGGGCUCUCUCAGGUAAAACAACGAUACUUCGACGGAUUACCCAUGACGACUCUCUUGCGGAACAUCCUGCGUGACCGAAAGGACACGAAGGAACACGUGGAAAG
rnacentral:ribozyme from 18 species